rnacentral:rRNA from 1 species
GCUCGUAGUUGGAUUUCUGUGGGGACGGAGCGGCCGGCCGCAACUUGCGGUUCGAGCUAGCGCUUUCCCUACAUCCUGCCGCGAACCGUGCUACCAUUAGUUUGGUGGCGCCGGGGAUCGGCUCGUUUACUUUGAGAAAAAUAGAGUGUUCAAAGCAGGCCACACGCCUUGAAUAAGUUAGCAUGGAAUAAUAAUAAAGGACUUCGGUUCUAUUUUGUUGGUGUUCGGGACUGAAGUAAUGAUUGAUAGGGACAGUUGGGGCGGUCAGUAUUCCAAAGCGAGAGGUGAAAUUCUUAGACCUUCGGAAGACUAACAGCUGCGAAAGCGUUCCGCAAGGAUGUUCCCUUUGAUCAAGAACGAAAGUUGGGGGAUCGAAGACGAUCAGAUACCGUCGUAGUCUCAACUAUAAACUAUACCAGCUAGGGAUCGGCCAACGUUAAAUUAUUCGACUUGGUCGGCACCUUAUGAGAAAUCAAAGCAUCUGGGUUCCGGGGGGAGUAUGGUCGCAAGGCUGAAACUUAAAGGAAUUGACGGAAGGGCACCACCAGCCGUGGAGCCUGUGGCUUAAUUUGACUCAACACGGGAAAACUUACCAGGUCCAGACAUAGUAAGGAUUGACAGAUUGAUAGCUCUUUCUUGAUUCUGUGGGUGGUGGUGCAUGGCCGUUCUUAGUUGGUGGAGUGAUUUGUCUGGUUAAUUCCGUUAACGAACGAGACCCCAGCCUGCUAAAUAGCGCGGUUGAGCUUUGCUCGGCGCGAGCUUCUUAGAGGGACUAUGAUGCGCGAUAGCACAUGGAAGUUUGGGGCAAUAACAGGUCUGUGAUGCCCUUAGAUGUUCUGGGCCGCACACGGACUACACUGGUGCUUUCAAUAAGUUAUAUCUGUAUUCUUGGUCGAAAGAUCUGGUAAAUCUUUGAAAUUGCACCGUGCUUGGGAUAGACAUUGCAAUUUUUUGUCUUCAACGAGAAUUCCUAGUAAACGCAAGUCAUCAACUUGCAUUGAUUACGUCCCUGCCCUUUGUACACACCGCCCGUCGCUCUACCGAUUGAUGAUUCGAUAGCCCUUGGGAUUGAUUGGAAUAUCUUUUUUAAGAUUUCGUUAAAACUUGUUCAAUC